rnacentral:rRNA from 1 species
ACGAGCGAGAGAGAGCUUGCUUUCUCGAGCGAGUGGCGAACGGGUGAGUAACGCGUGAGGAACCUGCCUCAAAGAGGGGGACAACAGUUGGAAACGACUGCUAAUACCGCAUAAGCCCACGGGUCGGCAUCGACCAGAGGGAAAAGGAGUGAUCCGCUUUGAGAUGGCCUCGCGUCCGAUUAGCUAGUUGGUGAGGUAACGGCCCACCAAGGCGACGAUCGGUAGCCGGACUGAGAGGUUGAACGGCCACAUUGGGACUGAGACACGGCCCAGACUCCUACGGGAGGCAGCAGUGGGGAAUAUUGCACAAUGGGGGAAACCCUGAUGCAGCGACGCCGCGUGGAGGAAGAAGGUCUUCGGAUUGUAAACUCCUGUUGUUGGGGAAGAUAAUGACGGUACCCAACAAGGAAGUGACGGCUAACUACGUGCCAGCAGCCGCGGUAAAACGUAGGUCACAAGCGUUGUCCGGAAUUACUGGGUGUAAAGGGAGCGCAGGCGGGAAGACAAGUUGGAAGUGAAAUCCAUGGGCUUAACCCAUGAACUGCUUUCAAAACUGUUUUUCUUGAGUAGUGCAGAGGUAGGCGGAAUUCCCGGUGUAGCGGUGGAAUGCGUAGAUAUCGGGAGGAACACCAGUGGCGAAGGCGGCCUACUGGGCACCAACUGACGCUGA